ensembl:lncRNA novel transcript
GAACACACUGACGAUCCAUUUGUAAAAGACGGCCCAGCCAGCAUCUCCCUCCCUGAGAGGGCGGUGUGUGCUGCUGAAACUCUGAUUACAACUGCUCUUAGGAUGAAGUGACUGGAGCCCAGAUACCUUAUUUAGCAAUCAGUGCUCGGCACAAGGACUUGCUGUGCCAACGAAAAGGAAGCGAGGCAUUUUGGCUAGUCACCGCGUUUUUGCUGCGUCACAGGGAGACAGAAGAUGGGCUGCUAUUUCGUCGGCUAAAUGCUAUCAUUUUAAGCACCGUUCCAAAGAAAACAGGGAUCUUGCCAGAGGAAAAUAACAUAUACCAUAAAGGAAAAAGAAAUGUGCAUCAAGGCAAAUAAACAGCUCUCUACUAAGGGCCUAGGAUCUUGCUAGACGAGUCAUUUCUCUGGUUGAAAAGCAGUUGAGAAAGGCAAGACAAGGGGGGCGGGGGCCCAGCAGGGCACCUCUGAGCCCUUCCUGCUGCUCUUCAAAGACAGACGCAUUUUCCUUUCUACGGUCUCCUUGCAAGUCUUCUGUAGGCCCUGCCACCUUCAGGCUGACUGACUGCCUCCUUCAAAUAUCAGCAUUUGGGGCCCCAUGAAGGCAGGCAGCCCAGGGAGGAAUGACUGGACGGUGACAUUGUGCAGGGGGUCUGGAAGUUGCCAGCGCAGGGGUUAGCAGCUGCAGCCUGGCCUGGUCCUGUCUGCCUGGCUGUCAAACCCAGAAGACCGUGGUUUCUGGUGGCCUCUGUGUGACAGCGGAGGAGGUGGGGCGAGGCCUGGAAGUGAAGCAUCUCGUGAGCCACUUAAGUGUUUAUGAAGCUCGCUAAUGUGCUUAAAUGAACGAGAAGCAGGUACUUGCUCCCAGGACCAGAGCCACCAAAGCAAUUUCCUCUGCAGCCCCUCAUACUUCGCACACUGGAAGCUUGCAUUCUUUCCCAGAGGACAGCCGGAUUACAGCACCGCCUCUAAUGCAACCCGAUCUGGUUUCUUUGAGCGCCGCGGUGAACGUGCAAUCUAUCUCAUAAAUGCAUCGCAGUGUUCCACAAAUCACCCACGUUCAUCCCUUGAGACGUCUUUAACUCGGGGCUUAGAGUUGCAAAUGAAUUCUCCUAUGGAUCUAUUAUUCCAUCAAAUAGCGGAGAGAGGGGACUAGCUUGUGCAGAGCCUUCAUAGAGCUGGGCUAAAUUCGAUUAUGCAAAGUCUAACGAGCACCAUUCAGCAAAACCAUGGUGGGUGUGAGCUGCAGGCCAGCCCCUCCACUGGGCCAUUAUCCAGGGGUAAACACCACUCGUGGGUUAGUUCCACGAGUUACUGGCUGAUUUGACCUGUGAUACUCCAAGGUGGAAGUAACCAAAUAAUAUGUAUCAUGAGCCCCAAGAACGAAGCCAGUGGAGAGUGGUACAUGCUAGAGGGUAACGCCUGGCCCUUUGCAGGACAGCACGUCAGCCAUGCGCCAUGGGACGAUGGUGGUGGCUGGGACACAGGAGGCCACGGCAGGAAAUGGGCAGGUGGGUGGGUCUAUGUAAGCUGGCUUUAGACUUCAAUCCACAAGCAUUUGCAGCUCAACUACUCAGCGUCUUAUCUUAUUUAAUCCUUUCAGCAAUAAACACUCUUUUCACAUGUAGUAAGGUUAAGGAGUCUACAUCACACCCUUUAUCAUUAUUAAUAAAGGGACACACCCUCCAGGGAUCCUAGGGAACCUCCUACCCACCCUGUGGUCACUCUAGGGAAAGGAAAGCUCUCAGGGACCGACGGGAGCCUGGGCACAUGCGCCACCACUCUCUCCUUUAUCCCCUCUAGCCCGGCUUGCUGGCUCUCACUUUCUUUUGUGCACUAGAACUCACGUACAAGUUGCACACCCAAACCCUUGCAUGCUGCAUUUCAGAGUCAACUUCAGUGAUUUUUGAGAGUGAUUUUGACAAUCCCAGUCAAAAUUCUAGCAGGUUUUUUUUUUUUACAUGACAAGUGGAUUCUAAAAUUCAUAGGAAAAUGCAAAUGACCUAGAAGAGCCAAAGCAAUUUUGGAAGGAGUAAAGUCGAAUGGCUGACGCUACCAGAUUUCAAGAUUCACUUGAAACGCACAGGAAUCAAGACAGGGUGGUGUCGACAGAAGGAAGGCGUCAGAGCAGGGUGACAGGAGGCAGGGCCACACACAGACGGCUGAUUGAUACCCGACAAAACCGCCGAGGUAAUUUCACAGGGAAAGGAACUCUUUUGAACAAAUGGUGCACCAACAAUUGGAUAACCAUACGGAAAAAAUUUAAAAAACAGAAGAACAUUGACCCUUCACGCACAUCAAACAUAAAUUAACUCAGAAUCCAUCAUAGGCUGGGUGUUGUGGCUCAUGCCUUUAAUCCUAGCACUUUGGGAGGCCAAGGCAGGCGGAUCACCUGAGGUCAGGAGUUUGAGACCAGCCUGGCCAACAUGGUAAAACCCCAUCUCUACUGAAAAUACAAAAAUUAGCCAGGCGUGGUGGCACGUG